AAAGACUUGACGGUACUUCACAUCACCCUAGAGGAGCCUGUCUAAUAACCGAUACCCCACGAUUAACCCCACCCGUUCUGGCCCCAACAGUCUAUAUACCACCGUCGCCAGCCUACCUUGUGAAAGAAAUAAAGUAAGCACAAAAGACCACCCCUAAAACGACAGGUCGAGGUGUAACUAAUGAGCGGGUAAAAGAUGGGCUACAUUUUCUAACACAGAAUACACGAAUAGACUAUGAAACUAGAAACCGAAGGCGGAUUUAGCAGUAUGGUGGGAACAGACAUACCCA
rnacentral:rRNA from 1 species